CACAAAUUACUUUAGUCAUCAGAUAUUAUGUUAAAUGGGAAGGGAUCAGUGUUAUCAUUGGAGUUAAGUCAAAUCUAAAGGGAGGCUGGCAGAGCUCGGUCUGUCCAACACAGGAGGAACUCUUUCUAGGAAUCGGUCAUGUGAGGACGCUGCAUUAAUAAACAUCAAGUGUGUGCCAAUCCGGUGCACUGUGCUGAUGGGGACGUCCUGCUUCAGCUUCCGCUUGCUGAGAACCACGGUGCCUUCAGCGCCCUCCGUCCCAGGACCCGUCAGGAGGAUGUAGGCAGCGUGGCGUCCACGCUCCAACAGGGUGGCUGAGAUUAAAACACAGACACGGAUUAAAAGAAGAAAAAAACAGAGCUGGACCUUGACAUUUUGUUGCUCAAUAAUACAAGUAAAGGGAAUUUAAGCGCAGAAGUACCUUUAAAUGUUAUGAAGUGGUCCAUUGAACUGUUGGACUCGAGGAGGACUUUGGAAUAAAGAGGGUGGAGCAUGUAAGAGCAUCGCUCACUACAGACUGGUACCUGGAAGCAAACAGUUUAACCUGAUUAGAUUAUUUUUUUUUUAAAGAAGUCUGCUAACAUGUAGCUCAAACACAGAAGUGUUCUCACAGUUGAGUUUGGCUCUGGAGGAAACUGGCCCCAAAACACAAAGAUGGAGAAGGAGUUGGCGGUGUGAAUGGAGGCGGGUCUUGGUGAGUUAGGACUGGCCAGGAGGUUGACCUCCCACAGCACACCACCAGACUUUCCAUCAAGUAUUAGUACCUACAUAAGAGACACAUGGUGGUAUGGUGAAUGUGUGAUUCAAAUAUUCAACAUAUGAGAGACUUUGAAGCAUCACACCGGUCUCUCACCCUCUUUGUGCUGUUUCCGACAUCCUCCUCUAGCACAACAUCAAGCACAUUGUCUUUGUUAUAGUGACCGAAGGAAGGCUCACUGUAUGAACGACAACAAACAUUCAAUAUUAAUGAGAAAUAUUUAGUCUAAAGUCGCAAAACUACUUUAAUCACCCAUAUUGAUUGCAACUAUGACUCUUUUCUGACAUUGAAAAAAUGAUCUCUCAGGUGACAUUGAAAAACAUUAGGAGAAGCAGCCCUAUGUUUUGAGGGUGAUGAAGGAAUAAAACCUUUUUUGUUCAACUUUUAUGUUUUGUUUUAGCGAGUUGGCAAUUUCUGAACAGUUAAGGUUUUUCCUGGUAUUAAAGUUAAUAAGAGAUAUGUACACUUCCAUUAUAUUUUAACAUAAAAUAUUCUCAAGAAAAGAUGAACUAACAGAAAAUGAACCCAAUUCAGAAAUUUCUUAGGUCUUAAAAUGUUUCCAGAUGAAAUGUACAGAUUGCUUGUUUUGUUUAAAUAGAUUAAGACAGGCAGGUAUUCACAAUCCUUUUACUCCUUUGUCUAAAAAACUGUUGAAAAUGUUGAAUAAAUGACUUAAAAUAG